AGAGGGGAAAGGGCGCGGGAAGUACAGGACGCAGUGUCCUAGUGCUCAGUUGGGUCGGCUUCUGCAGCUCGGAUUGUCCCGGUCCAAGACUGCGGAAUGAAGAGUCAGGCUGGAAGCCGAUUCAAGCCCCGACUUCGGCCUCAGUCCUCUUUCCCUACCAAGGAUGGCUUCAGGCUUCCGAAGUUGGUGGGUUGGACUUUAUCUCUUUUUUUGCUUUGAGAACCUGUGUGUAAACAAACCCUCGCUGCCCUGCAAAGGAAUCUGUGCAGAGCGCCACCAACUCCGAGGUGGGGGAAUAAGUGUUUGGAGAUGCCUGAGGUAUGGUCCUUACCCGCGUGACAUGUGAAGGUUCAAGUAGAAAUCAGUGUUGAAAACUUCAUGGAGGAUUCAUUAUUUCUGCCCUGAAUUGGAAUUAAUUCCUUAUUGACUUAUUAUUACUGUACUAAAAGCGUUUUUAAUUAACCAUGGUAUUUGUUUGGGUAAGACCUUUGUUUUGGUAAGGUUUUACAAGAGCUUAUAAGUGAUCAUAUACUCUUCUGGUAUAUGUAAGCGUUAAUAUUUUUAAGUCCACAUGAUAGAUUAUCUAUUUUAAAACUUAGUAAAGCUGUGUCAUCUCUAUGGUCCCAGAGAAUACGCUCAGUUGCCAGCGUGAGUCCCCGUAUUACACCGGGCACUUGCACAUUAUUUUCAUUCAGCCUGCAUAAGUGAUUUUUCAAAAGCUGUUUCUCCACCAUCUUGUCCAUCCAAUGUCAUAAAUCUUCCUAAACAAGCAACUAAACUCUUGUUUCUGGCAAAUGCUAUUUCAUACAAGGCGGUAUCUGUGUUGUUAGAACAGGAUUUUUGUUCUAAUUAUUGAAUUUGUUUUUUUAAAAAAUCAAAACUUUAAUCAAUACAGAAAAACUUCAAGAAGUCAAUGGUGAUCUGAAUAAAAAUUUAUUUAAACCCUU